UACGGAGGGUGCAAGCGUUAUCCGGAUUCACUGGGUUUAAAGGGUGCGUAGGUGGAUUGGUAAGUCCGUGGUGAAAUCCCCGAGCUUAACUCGGGAACUGCCGUGGAUACUAUCAAUCUUGAAUACUGUGGAGGUAAGCGGAAUAUGUCAUGUAGCGGUGAAAUGCUUAGAUAUGACAUAGAACACCGAUAGCGAAGGCAGCUUGCUACACAGUCAUUGACACUGAGGCACGAAAGCGUGGGGAGCAAACAGGAUUAGAAACCCUAGUAGU
rnacentral:rRNA from 1 species